rnacentral:tRNA from 1 species
AACAUUGUAGUUUAAUUUAAAAUGUGUAUUUUGCAUUUACAUGAUAAUUGUUUAGUUCCUUGUUA